UUUUGUCCAUAUGUGUGUGUGAAGUGUGUUCGCCAUUUUGUAGUGGGGUUUUAAUUCUCAGCGGUUCGUUUCAUUCACUAUAUAGUCCACUAUGAAAUACCCACAAUGCACAGCUAAUUUGUGCAAACA